CAUUGUCUCUGGCAGAUAGUAAGCUCAAUAAACGGCCACUAUCAUCAUCAUCAAGUGGUGAAGGGAAGUACUCAGCCUUGCGUAUUAUUCGAAGCUUGCUUGUUGCCUUUGACUCUCUAACUUUUGGCAGCCCAUCACUGAAGCCCACAGCUCUGAGGGAAGUGACAAGAGAAAGUGCAGUGGAAAUGGAGGCUAUAAAUAUGUGACUUUUGAAGACCAUUCAUAUAAUAACUCUUAUUUUAGUUUUGAAAUCCCUUCCUCAUUAGAGACUGAGACGGAAGACAUUCAUGUUUACUCCAUUCCUCUCCUGGCUGAUUGGCACAGAUAAGUGGGGAUAAGGAGCCAGCAAGAGUUUGUUGGUCUGCUGUUUCUUGGUCACCAGUUCUUGGUACCAUUGAACGUCACUUUGCCAAGAGAUCUUACUAUGGAUUCUGGGGAAACGGGAGAGGAAGAAGGCAAUCGCUAGCCUGAAAGGAAUUGCAGGCUUGGACAGAUCUGUGCCCUCUCUCCAGUCCUUGUGUCGCUUUGGAGUGACCAGUCAAGGUGGCAUUAUGUCACCAUCAGAGAGGCAUUUGUGAUGAAGAUGAAGGUGAAGCCCUGUACCAGAAGGUGUCCUCAGAGCAGUGCCAGGUAGAGCACCUCGGGGACUUGCUGUCCCACUGCCCAGAGUGUGGUUUGGCAGGCGAUUUCAUCUUUUACUUGAAGGAGUUGAGUCUCGUGGCUGUGGAAGAUGAAGCAAAGUUAAAAACCAAGCCCUUCUCCAGCAGAAGCCUCUUGGAGGUAGAGCAGCACCAGGCUCCCCUAGUGGAAGGCCAGGAGCGGAAGCUGCUGGUCCUCCAGCUGAUGGCUGUUCUGAGGGAGAGAAUGAGCAGAUAUUCACAAACAUCACUCAGGUUGUGGAUGUUGUACCAGCAACCCUGCAGCGAGCAUGUGCAAGCCUGGCCCAUCAGGCAGAGAGCACCAUAGAAUCACAAACACUGAGCAUGUCCGUGGGACUGGCGGCCAUCAUGCUGGGAGGAGCCGUGCAGGUGAGCUGCAGACAUGAACCAAACUUGAAAGGAGGGAGAAGAGAAGAGAAAAACCUACCGCUUCCCUUCCAUAUCCUUGUGAGAAAUAAGGAUGGAUAUUGCAUAUAGGAGAACCAGAGUAAACAAGUGAGGUUGUUAAUUAGAAUUCUCCCCGAAGUAGAGGACAAGAAAACUGUACCACUUCCACCUUGUCACAUGCAUAGACAGAGGCAGCCAGAGCCCUUUCUGACCUGGCAUGAGCUUGAUUUGGAAAUA